rnacentral:rRNA from 1 species
UACGAGGGGGGCAAAUGUUGUUCGGAAUCACUGGGCUUAAAGGGCGCGUAGGCGGGUGUGCAAGUCUGUGGUGAAAGCCUCCAGCUUAACUGGAGAAGUGCCUUUGAUACUGGCGGGCUCGAGCGAGGCAGGGGUCGUGGGAACUUCCGGUGGAGCGGUGAAAUGCGUAGAGAUCGGAAAGAACACCAACGGCGAAAGCACUCUGCUGGGCCGACACUGACACUGAGAGACGAAAGCUAGGGGAGCGAAUGGG